rnacentral:lncRNA from 1 species
UUGUAAGAGGGUGUUAGUUGGAUGCCUUUAAUAAAAUGAUUCUUAAAUAACUAUGUGGAACAUAGCUUAUUCACUGCUAUUAACAGAUUUGACAUAAAAGGACCUGAAAGCGUGUUUGAUUUAUUUUGUACGCUAAUGAUAUCUCUUCCUGCUGUACAUUAGGGGUGGCAAGUAGCCUAGUGGUUAGUUAGAGCGUUGGGCCAGUAACCGAAAAGUUGAUGGAUCAAAUCCCCGAGCUGACAAGGUAAAAAUCUGUCGUUCUGGCACUGUUCCUCCGGUAGGCUGUCAUUGUAAAUAAGAAUUAGUUCUGUCUAGUUAAAUAAAGGUUAAACAUUUUGUUUUUUAAAGAUUCUGAAAUGCAGAAAGAAAUAGGGUAGUUUGAGUUAACCAAUAGCUUUUCACUGCAAUAGUCAUUUCAUAGUGCUUAAUAAAUCCUCUUUGGGCUAGACGUGCUGCUAGCAACCCACCUCGACAACAUCCGGUGAAAUUGCAGAGUGCGAAAUUCAAAUUACAGAAAUAGUAACAUUUAACAUUCAUGAAAAUACAAGUGUCAUACAUCAGUUAAAAGCUUAACUACUUUUUAAUCCAGCCGCUGUGUCAGAUUUCAAAAAGGCUUUACGGCGAAAGCACUCCAUACGAUUAUCUGAGGACAGCGCACAGCACACAAAAGCAUUAGAAACAUUUUCCAACCAGGCAGAUGCGCCACGAAAGUCAGAAAUAGCGAUAAAAUAAAUGCCUUACCUUUGAAGAUCUUCUUCUGUUGGCACUCCAAAAGGUCACCGCUACAUCACAAAUGGUCCUUUUGUUUGAUAAAGUCCUUCUUUAUAUCCCCUAAAACUCAGUUAAGCUGGUGCGCUUCAUUCAAUAAUCCACCGGUUUCCCUCCUUCAAAAUGCAUACAAAAUGAAUCCCAAACGUUACCAAUAAACUUCUCCAAACAAGUCAAACAACGUUUAUAAUCAAACCUCAGGUACCCUAAUAUGUAAAUAAGCAAUACAAUUUAAGACGUAGAAUCCUUAUUGUCAUUACCGGAGAUAAACAACAAAGUACGCGCAUUCACCAGAACGCGUAACAAACUACUGCCAAAAUGGGAGCCACUUAGAAAAACUACAAAUUCUAGUUCAUUUUUCCAAAAACAAACCUGAAACUCUUUCUAAAGACUGUUGACAUCUAGUGCAAACCCUAGGAACUGCAAUCUGGGAGGUUUUCCCUUCAUAUUAAAAAUGACAGCCAUAGGAAUCAAUGGUGGGCUGAAUUUGUUUGUUUUUUUGUAGAUGGUUUGUCCUCAGGUUUUUGCCUGCCAUAUCAGUUCUGUUAUACUCACAGACAUUAUUGUAACAGUUUUAGAAACUGGAGAGUGUUUUCUAUCCAAAUCUACCAAUUAUUUCCAUAUCCUAGCUUCUGGGCCUGAGUAACAGGCCGUUUACUUUGGGCACGCUUGUCAUCCAGACAACAAAAUACUGCCCCCUAGCCCAAAGAGGUUUUAAUCAUGUGGACAAGUAUCCUGCUUCUAUUUUGGAUAAAAUGGGGGUCAUGUUAGCAGUAACUGCAUAAAGUUACUUUGAAACGAAGCUAAAUAAAAGCUAAAUUAUUUUCUCAGUUCCACGCUGUGAGCAGUUACUGCCUUUUUGCUAGGGCAGAAUAGUCAUUUUAUUUCCGAAUACAUUUGUAGUUUUGCAUAAAAUAAAUGCCAGUAAACCAUUACUAUUCCAUUCUAUUUCAUUUGAUUGAAGUGUAAUGAACACAUCUGAUUGUCCAGCUUUUAGGACACUAUUUGUUGGACAUGACAAUUGGUAGGCUGACACAUCAGCCAAACAGAGUUUUCUACUGUGUUUUGGGUCCCCUGCCAUAUAAAAUGAGACUUGGCAUAAUUAUACAAAUAAUAAUAGAACUAUCAUAACAUCUGUGAUGCUGAGAAUAAAAUAGGGCCAGAAGACUCUCUGGCUGUAGCUGAGAUGUGACAUCACCGCUUCCCAACACAGACCAGGCAGUCAGACCAGGCAGUCAGAGACCAGGCAGUCAGACCAGGCAGUCAGACCAGGCAGUCAGAGACCAGGCAGUCAGAGACCAGGCAGUCAGAGACCAGGCAGUCAGAGACCAGGCAGUCAGAGACCAGGCAGUCAGAGACCAGGCAGUCAGACCAGGCAGUCGGGGAAAGACUAGGUGGUGUACCUGUGGGGUACCGACAGAGACCGACAGACAGACAGAAGUAGAGGCAGCAGCAUGGUGCUCUGGGCUCUAGUCUUUGUAAAUUGCCUCUGGUUAUAUUCGCUGGUGUUUUUUAAAACAGCGAAGAUGAAUAGUUAAUGUUUCCUGUUGAUGUUAGUUUUCAUAAAACCUAAUUGCCUGCUGUGCACCAAAGACAAGUUUUGAGGAAUUUGUUUCAAUGUCUGGUAGUGAUGCAGUCAUAUGAAUGUCCUUAGGUGGUUUAUUGUAGGAUGAAAUGCACAGUUGUGGCCAGUUUCCCAGACACUUUCCAAGGAGGUACUCAUUGAGCUUGCUUUUUAGCCUCGGACUAGACUUGAUCUGCGUCCAGGAAAACCUUCACGUACAGUUUGUUUCAUUGAGUUCAUUUCUUGACACUGAUGAAGACAACCUUUUGUGGAGGUCUCUCUUUCUGUGCAGCUUAGGCCUUGUACUGGCCAGACAGACUGGUCAAGAUCAGUUUGCCAACUUGGAAGACACUGAUUGUCUCUGUGUAGCCUAUUGCUAUAGUCAGUGAGUGCAUCCCAAAUGGCACCCUAUUCCCUAUAUAGGGCAUUUGGAAAGUAUUGAGACCCCUUCCCUUUUUCCACAUUUUGUUACGUUACAGCCUUAUUCUAAAAUUGAUUAAAACAUUUAAAAAAAAUCCUCAUCAAUCUACACACAAGACACCACAAUGACAAAGCAAAAACAGGUUUUAAGAUUUUUUUUUGUGUGUGUUUCAUAUAUAUAAAAAGAUACUGUAUUUACAUAAGUAUUCAGACCCUUUGCUAUGAGACUCGAAAUUGAGCUCAGGUGCAUCCUGUUUCCAUUGAUCAUCAUUGAUGUUUCUACAACUUGAUUGGAGUCCACCUGUGGUAAAUUCAAUUGAUUGGACAUGAUUUGGAAAGGCACACACCUGUCUACAUAAGGUCCCACAGUUGAUGGUGCAUGUCAGAGCAAGAACCAAGCCAUGAGGUCGAAGGAAUUGUUGAGGAUUGUGUCAAGGCACAGAUCUUUAACUCUACCUACAUGUACAUUUUACCUAAAUUACCUCGACUAACCAGUGCCCCCGCACAUUGACUCUGUACCGUAACACCCUGUAUAUAGCCUCUACAUUGACUCUGUACCGUAACACCCUGUAUAUACCCUCCACAUUGACUCUGUACCGUAACACCCUGUAUAUAGCCUCCACAUUGACUCUGUACCGUAACACCCUGUAUAUAGCCUCUACAUUGACUCUGUACCGUAACACCCUGUAUAUAGCCUCUACAUUGACUCUGUACCGUAACACCCUGUAUAUAGCCUCCACAUUGACUCUGUACCGUAACACCCUGUAUAUAGUCUCCACAUUUGUUAUUUUACUGCUGCUCUUUAAUUAUUUGUUCAUUUUAUUUUAUAUUUUUUACUUUACAUAUUUUUUUCUAAACGGGAUUGUUGGUUAAGGGCUUGUAAGUAAGCAUUUCACUGUAA